UGAUAACAUUUGAUUUACAGUGUAUUUGAAACUUUAAAAAUAUAAAGUAAAUAUUAAAAUAGUUACAGAAUACAUGUAGAUAGCAAUGCUAGCAGAAGCUUCUCCUGCCAAGAAACAGAGAAUCAUGGGUCCAAGCCAUCAAGGAAAUGGGUUAGGAUCGAUACAAAAUAAAGAAAAUUAUCAGAAGCUACAAAUAGAGAGAUUACAAUUGCCCAUAUAUUCUGCUAGAAAGAGACUAUUACAAGAAAUACAGAAAUUAGAUACUGUCAUAGUUAUUGGUGAGACUGGAAGCGGAAAGACAACUCAAAUACCCCAAUUUUUAUUAGAAUCAGGAAUGCAUAGAGGAAAAACCAUCGCUAUAACCCAGCCCCGUCGAGUAGCUGCCAUAACCGUAUCUCAGCGUGUCGCAGAAGAGAAAAAGACUGCUGUAGGAAGAUUGGUUGGAUACUGUGUAAGAUUUGAAGAUAUGACAUCAGAAGCCACCAAAAUAAAGUACAUGACAGACGGAAUGUUAUUACGGGAGGCCAUCUUAGAUCCACAAUUAAAGAGAUACUCAGUUGUUAUAUUAGACGAAGCUCAUGAAAGGACGAUACAUACAGAUGUUUUAUUUGGUGUUGUCAAAGACUGCCAGAAAGAUAGAAGAAAAAAAGGAAUCCCACCACUUAAGAUAAUUGUUAUGUCAGCUACCAUGGAUGUUGAUCAUUUUUCAAGAUAUUUUAAUAACUCCCCAGUAUUAUAUUUAGAAGGAAGACAAUUUCCAAUACAGGUGUAUUAUGCCUGUAAUCCCCAGUCUGAUUACCUGUUCGCUUCACUCGUCACAUUAUUUAAAAUACACAAAGAAGCACCAAAGGGUCAUGAUAUUCUCUUGUUUCUUACUGGUCAAGAAGAAAUAGAAUCAGCAGUCCAGUCUAUUAAAGAAAUCUCCAGAGACAAAGAACAAGAAGAUCUUACACUCAUUGUCUGUCCAUUAUAUGCAGCAUUACCUUCACAAGCUCAAUUACGAGUCUUUCAACCAACACCUAAAGGAGCGCGUAAAGUUAUUGUAUCAACCAAUAUAGCAGAGACCUCAGUAACCAUACAUGGUAUUAGAUAUGUCAUUGACUGUGGUAUGGUCAAAGCUAAAGUAUAUAACCCAAAUAGUGGAUUGGAUAUUCUUAAAGUUGUCCGGGUAUCCAAAGCACAAGCAUUGCAGAGAACAGGGCGAGCUGGUCGUGAAUCUCCAGGCACAUGUUACAGACUUUAUACAGAAUCUGAAUAUGAAUCUUUACAAACUAGUACUGUGCCUGAGAUACUCAGAUGUAAUUUAGCAAGCGUUAUGUUACAGUUACUUGCCCUUGGAAUAUCUGACAUUAUUAAUUUUGAUUUCAUGGAUAAACCAGACACAGAGUCUAUUGUGAGUGCCUUGGAUCAGCUACAUUUACUAGGUGCUGUUGAAAAGGCAGACAAUAUUCAAUUAACUCCAUUAGGUAAACAAAUGGCGGCUUUUCCUCUCGACCCGAGAAUGUCGAAAACUAUUUUAGCAGCUAAAGACUAUGAUUGUUUAGAAGAAGUAUUAAGCGUUGUGUCCUUGUUAUCUGUUGAAAGUAUAUUAGUAAACCCAGCCCGUAAGCGCGCAGAGGCUAUGGCCGCGCAACAAAAGUUUAUGUCGAGUGACGGUGAUCAUAUAACCCUACUUAAUAUUUACAAAUCUUUUAAAGGCGUUAGUGGCAACAAACAAUGGUGUCAAGAAAAUUUUAUUAAUAAUCGUAACAUGAAAACAGCCAUGGAUGUACGCAGACAAUUAAGGGAAAUAUGUCAGAGAUUAGAACUUCCGUUAAAAUCUUGUGGUCAAGAUAUGACUUGUAUAAGAAAGUGUAUGACUAUUGGUUAUUUUAUGAAUGCAGCAGAGCUACAAGCUACGGGUGAAUUUAUAACGCUUUCAACAAGAAAACCGGUUUCUAUUCACCCUUCAUCAGCUUUAUUCCGGUGUAAACCAGCCUAUGUGAUAUAUAAUGAGCUUGUGCAAACAUCUAAAUGUUAUAUGAGAGAUCUUUGUUUGGUAGAUCCAGAUUGGUUAUAUGCAGCAGCACCAAAUUAUUUCCGUAGAAAAAAGCCUGCAAAUUCAAACUAAAUUCUAUGGAUUUCAUAAUAUAUAUUUUUUUUUUUUUCUUGUUGACCACAAAUUCAUAAUAGACCCACAUGUACUGUAUAUUUUGGGGGAAAAAAAUCGUAUUUGAAAAUUUGACUUUUGUGAUAUGAACCUCUUCAGACCCAAGUAGUAAAUUAUGAAAUUAGCAUCAAUACUACAGUACACAUCAUGUUCUGCACAAGAUUGGCACCAAAACUGUCUAAACAAAAUCAGUAAAUCUAUUAACAUGUUUGUUUAAAAAAAAUAAAUUUUGUUAUGCGCUUUGGUUCUCAUAAUUAGGUUAUUUAUUGAGGCAGCCACAGUGGCUCAGUAACAUGUUGGCUUGCUAACCUGGAGGUCACAUGUUUAAUCUCAGUGUUGGCGGAGAAAGUUCAUUCGGAUUUUCUGGCAUGGUUCCUCAUUGUCAGUGGUACAGGACGGAAGGCCUAGCAAGAGACAAUGUAUAGUCAUUCGUAUGGGACAAAAAAAAUGAGGUCCGGUUCGAUAUAAGAAUAGGCGCAUUUUCAAGGGCCCUGGAGCAACAGAAUAUCUGGAAAAUGUCAUACAUGACAGCUUUUACAUCUAGUCUGUAAGCAUUAUCACUUCAAGCAGGAAAAUAAGUUGAUCAGAUUCAACCUUUUCUACAUACAUGUAUCCCUUGAAAUUUUUCUACAAAUCAAUUAUGAAUACUCGGUAUGAUAAAGAAAGUUGCUUAGCUUAUUAAAUGGUAACAUUUAGACUUUUUUUACAUACAUGUAUCCUUUGAAAUUUUUCUACAAGUUAUUCAAGAAUGUGUUCAGAGAAAGUUGCUUAGCUUAUUAAAACUUUUAAAAUGUAACAUUUAGACAUUUUCUCCCAAUCUAGAUGCAGGGUUCUAAUGUAAGAAAUUAAUACAUUAUAAACAUUAAUUUUUGAUUGCUGUGUCAGCAUUAGAAUAAUGGCAAAACGUGGACAGUUUUUAAUUAAGAUAUUAUAUUUUUGACUAUUAAUUGUUACGGUUAUCAUUACUGGAUUGUUAAAUAUGUGAAAUGUACCACAUAAAUAUUAUAUAUGAAUAAAAAUAUAAAAAUGCUAAUAAAAUAUGAUUUAAAUAUAAAUGCAGUUAAAAUGCUUCUGCUUACUUGCUUAGUAUACCGAAUUAGAUGUUCACCAUGAUAUAAGAUUAACGUGUGCAGGAUAUCUUUGCAAGAAUAACACAACACCAAUUUGAAUUUUUGUUCAUCAGGGGAAAUAAUUUUUUGAAAGAUAAGCAAUUCUUGGUUGCUUUUCCCCAAAGCUUUCAAUUUUUAAGUUUUGAAAUCUUAAACACUGAGUGGUUAUUACUUAUCAAGACCCCAAAGAACUAGAUUAAAUUGGUGUCUCAUAAGUUAGGCAAGAAAGCCCAGUAUGACAUUGUACAAAUUAAACAAACUCAGCUCUUAUGUACAGAUUAUUAAACGAGUUGUAGAUUUGUCACAAGAGAUGUGAUGCAAUGGAACUAUAUAUUAUAUACAACCUGGAUGUUAACAUUGUCAUAUUGUCAAAUGUUAGUGUUAAUGACAAUAGUUAAGUGGAGGAACUGUAUGACUGGCAUGUGGUUUUAUAAUGCACAUGCAUUCAUCGCUGUCAACAUUCAGUUUAAGACCCAAGUUUGUAUUUCACCAAUAGCUCUAUUGCAGACAAUGCUAUGUAUUUAGUGGGACAAGAUCUCAUUCUAUAUAAAAUGAGAUGGCUAUCUCAGCGGAAUUUCAUGUUUGAACCAGGAAUUGGGACCCCAUGCCCAACUCAACCUGUCGUACUUGGAAUGCCUGAGGCUCCACCAAUUCAAGUAAAAUUGAGAUGAAAUUUCGCAUGAUUGUUACUUUGGACAACUGCACAUCGAUUGAUGCGACGUCAUAUUUCAAGGUGGCAGUGAUGACGUCCUGCUCAGUUCGUGAUCCAUAUUACACUUAUACUUGAUUUCUUCUACAAUGAUGUACUUGUCUGAACUUAAUCCUUUAUUCAUUGCAUGUGCUAUGGGUAAUGUGAGUGGUGCACAGAGUAUGAAGUCUAGCCAUAUCCCUUUCUUAUUGUAGGUUAUAUAAAUUUUAUGUUUACAUCAUAUGAAUGAGAAGCUUUAUGAUUAUAAUGGAUCAACCAGAACCUAUUUUAGAUGACAGAUAUUACCAAAUUGUACAGUUAGGUGAUUUUUAUGUAAGCAUCAUUAAAGACAAGAAAAAUACCACAAAAGUCAUCAGGGAAUUGACAGAGAGUAUGCCUAAUAAAGAAUUCAAUUAUCUGAAGAGAGUUAAAAGUACAAAUAGUAAAG